GUGAAAUUCCGUCGGAAUCUGGGAGGACCAUCUCCUAAGGCUAAAUACUCUCUAGUGACCGAUAGUGAACCAGUACCGUGAGGGAAAGGUGAAAAGCACCCCGGAAGGGGAGUGAAAUAGAACCUGAAACCGUGUGCUUACAAGUAGUCAGAGCCCGUUAAUGGGUGAUGGCGUGCCUUUUGUAGAAUGAACCGGCGAGUUACGAUUUGAUGCAAGGUUAAGCAGUAAAUGUGGAGCCGUAGCGAAAGCGAGUCUGAAUAGGGCGUUUAGUAUUUGGUCGUAGACCCGAAACCAGGUGAUCUACCCUUGGUCAGGUUGAAGUUCAGGUAACACUGAAUGGAGGACCGAACCGACUUACGUUGAAAAGUGAGCGGAUGAACUGAGGGUAGCGGAGAAAUUCCAAUCGAACCUGGAGAUAGCUGGUUCUCUCCGAAAUAGCUUUAGGGCUAGCCUCAAGUGAUGAUUAUUGGAGGUAGAGCACUGUUUGGACGAGGGGCCCCUCUCGGGUUACCGAAUUCAGACAAACUCCGAAUGCCAAUUAAUUUAACUUGGGAGUCAGAACAUGGGUGAUAAGGUCCAUGUUCGAAAGGGAAACAGCCCAGACCACCAGCUAAGGUCCCAAAAUAUAUGUUAAGUGGAAAAGGAUGUGGCGUUGCCCAGACAACUAGGAUGUUGGCUUAGAAGCAGCCAUCAUUUAAAGAGUGCGUAAUAGCUCACUAGUCGAGUGACACUGCGCCGAAAAUGUACCGGGGCUAAACAUAUUACCGAAGCUGUGGAUUGUCCUUUGGACAAUGGUAGGAGAGCGUUCUAAGGGCGUUGAAGCAUGAUCGUAAGGACAUGUGGAGCGCUUAGAAGUGAGAAUGCCGGUGUGAGUAGCGAAAGAUGGGUGAGAAUCCCGUCCACCGAUUGACUAAGGUUUCCAGAGGAAGGCUCGUCCGCUCUGGGUUAGUCGGGUCCUAAGCUGAGGCCGACAGGCGUAGGCGAUGGAUAACAGGUUGAUAUUCCUGUACCACCUAUAAUCGUUUUAAUCGAUGGGGGGACGCAGUAGGAUAGGCGAAGCGUGCGAUUGGAUUGCACGUCUAAGCAGUAAGGCUGAGUAUUAGGCAAAUCCGGUACUCGUUAAGGCUGAGCUGUGAUGGGGAGAAGACAUUGUGUCUUCGAGUCGUUGAUUUCACACUGCCGAGAAAAGCCUCUAGAUAGAAAAUAGGUGCCCGUACCGCAAACCGACACAGGUAGUCAAGAUGAGAAUUCUAAGGUGAGCGAGCGAACUCUCGUUAAGGAACUCGGCAAAAUGACCCCGUAACUUCGGGAGAAGGGGUGCUCUUUAGGGUUAACGCCCAGAAGAGCCGCAGUGAAUAGGCCCAAGCGACUGUUUAUCAAAAACACAGGUCUCUGCUAAACCGUAAGGUGAUGUAUAGGGGCUGACGCCUGCCCGGUGCUGGAAGGUUAAGAGGAGUGGUUAGCUUCUGCGAAGCUACGAAUCGAAGCCCCAGUAAACGGCGGCCGUAACUAUAACGGUCCUAAGGUAGCGAAAUUCCUUGUCGGGUAAGUUCCGACCCGCACGAAAGGCGUAACGAUUUGGGCACUGUCUCAACGAGAGACUCGGUGAAAUCAUAGUACCUGUGAAGAUGCAGGUUACCCGCGACAGGACGGAAAGACCCCGUGGAGCUUUACUGUAGCCUGAUAUUGAAAUUCGGCACAGCUUGUACAGGAUAGGUAGGAGCCUUUGAAACGUGAGCGCUAGCUUACGUGGAGGCGCUGGUGGGAUACUACCCUAGCUGUGUUGGCUUUCUAACCCGCACCACUUAUCGUGGUGGGAGACAGUGUCAGGCGGGCAGUUUGACUGGGGCGGUCGCCUCCUAAAAGGUAACGGAGGCGCUCAAAGGUUCCCUCAGAAUGGUUGGAAAUCAUUCAUAGAGUGUAAAGGCAUAAGGGAGCUUGACUGCGAGACCUACAAGUCGAGCAGGGUCGAAAGACGGACUUAGUGAUCCGGUGGUUCCGCAUGGAAGGGCCAUCGCUCAACGGAUAAAAGCUACCCCGGGGAUAACAGGCUUAUCUCCCCCAAGAGUUCACAUCGACGGGGAGGUUUGGCACCUCGAUGUCGGCUCAUCGCAUCCUGGGGCUGUAGUCGGUCCCAAGGGUUGGGCUGUUCGCCCAUUAAAGCGGUACGCGAGCUGGGUUCAGAACGUCGUGAGACAGUUCGGUCCCUAUCCGUCGUGGGCGUAGGAAAUUUGAGAGGAGCUGUCCUUAGUACGAGAGGACCGGGAUGGACAUACCUCUGGUGUACCAGUUGUCGUGCCAACGGCAUAGCUGGGUAGCUAUGUGUGGACGGGAUAAGUGCUGAAAGCAUCUAAGCAUGAAGCCCCCCUCAAGAUGAGAUUUCCCAACUUCGGUUAUAAGAUCCCUCAAAGAUGAUGAGGUUAAUAGGUUCGAGGUGGAAGCAUGGUGACAUGUGGAGCUGACGAAUACUAAUCGAUCGAAGACUUAAUCAA
rnacentral:rRNA from 1 species